rnacentral:rRNA from 1 species
UGGGGGAUAUUGCACAAUGGGCGAAAGCCUGAUGCAGCGAUGCCGCGUGGGGGAUGAAGGCCUUCGGGUUGUAAACUUCUUUUGCUCUGAACAAGGCAUGCUAAUGGGUGUGUUGAGUGUAGGGGUUGAUUAGCGCCGGCUAACUACGUGCCAGCAGCCGCGGUAAUACGUAGGGCGCGAGCGUUGUCCGGAAUUAUUGGGCGUAAAGGGCUUGUAGGUGGCUGGUUGCGUCUGUCGUGAAAGCUCAUGGCUUAACUGUGGGUUUGCGGUGGGUACGGGCUGGCUUGAGUGCAGUAGGGGGGGCUGGAAUUCCUGGUGUAGCGGUGGAAUGCGCAGAUAUCAGGAGGAAUACCGGUGGCGAAGGCGGGUCUCUGGGCUGUUACUGACACUGAGGAGCGAAAGCAUGGGGAGCGAACAGG